AGAGUUUGUCAUGGCUCAGAAUCAACGCUGGCGGCGUGCCUCAGACAUGCAAGUCGAACGCGAAAGCUCCCUUCGGGGAGCAAGUAGAGUGGCGCACGGGUGAGUAACACGUAGGUAAUCUACCUUCGGAUGGGGAAUAACAACCGGAAACGGUUGCUAAUACCGCAUAAUGCAGCGGCACCUAAUGGUGACAGUUGUUAAAGCGGGGGAUCGCAAGACCUCGCGUCUGAAGAGAAGCCUGCGGCAGAUUAGCUAGUUGGUAGGGUAAUGGCCUACCAAGGCGACGAUCUGUAACCGGCCUGAGAGGGCGGUCGGUCACACUGACACUGACAUACGGGUCAGACUCCUACGGGAGGCAGCAGUCGGGAAUUUUGGGCAAUGGGCGAAAGCCUGACCCAGCAACGCCGCGUGAAGGAUGAAAUUUUUCGGAAUGUAAACUUCGCAAGAACGGGAAGAAUAAGUAGAAGAUAAUACCUUCUAUGAUGACGGUACCGUUUGUAAGCUCCGGCUAACUCCGUGCCAGCAGCGGCGGUAAUAC
rnacentral:rRNA from 1 species